rnacentral:rRNA from 1 species
UGGGGAAUUUUGGACAAUGGGCGAAAGCCUGAUCCAGCAAUGCCGCGUGUGUGAAGAAGGCCUUCGGGUUGUAAAGCACUUUUGUCCGGAAAGAAAUCCUUGGCUCUAAUACAGUCGGGGGAUGACGGUACCGGAAGAAUAAGCACCGGCUAACUACGUGCCAGCAGCCGCGGUAAUACGUAGGGUGCAAGCGUUAAUCGGAAUUACUGGGCGUAAAGCGUGCGCAGGCGGUUUGCUAAGACCGAUGUGAAAUCCCCGGGCUCAACCUGGGAACUGCAUUGGUGACUGGCAGGCUAGAGUAUGGCAGAGGGGGGUAGAAUUCCACGUGUAGCAGUGAAAUGCGUAGAGAUGUGGAGGAAUACCGAUGGCGAAGGCAGCCCCCUGGGCCAAUACUGACGCUCAUGCACGAAAGCGUGGGGAGCAAAACAGGAUUAGAUACCCCUGGUAGUCCACGCCCUAAAACGAUGUCAACUAGUUGUUGGGGAUUCAUUUCCUUAGUAACGUAGCUAACGCGUGAAGUUGACCGCCU